CCUACGGGAGGCAGCAGUGGGGAAUUUUGGACAAUGGGCGAAAGCCUGAUCCAGCCAUGCCGCGUGCAGGAUGAAGGCCUUCGGGUUGUAAACUGCUUUUGUACGGAACGAAAAGGUCUUUUCUAAUAAAGAAGGCUCAUGACGGUACCGUAAGAAUAAGCACCGGCUAACUACGUGCCAGCAGCCGCGGUAAUACGUAGGGUGCGAGCGUUAAUCGGAAUUACUGGGCGUAAAGCGUGCGCAGGCGGUUAUAUAAGACAGUUGUGAAAUCCCCGGGCUCAACCUGGGAACUGCAUCUGUGACUGUAUAGCUAGAGUACGGUAGAGGGGGAUGGAAUUCCGCGUGUAGCAGUGAAAUGCGUAGAUAUGCGGAGGAACACCGAUGGCGAAGGCAAUCCCCUGGACCUGUACUGACGCUCAUGCACGAAAGCGUGGGGAGCAAACAGGAUUAGAUACCCUGGUAGUCCACGCCCUAAACGAUGUCAACUGGUUGUUGGGUCUUCACUGACUCAGUAACGAAGCUAACGCGUGAAGUUGACCGCCUGGGGAGUACGGCCGCAAGGUUGAAACUCAAAUGAAUUGACGG
rnacentral:rRNA from 1 species